rnacentral:rRNA from 1 species
GGUUAAGCGACUAAGCGUACACGGUGGAUGCCCUGGCAGUCAGAGGCGAUGAAGGACGUGCUAAUCUGCGAAAAGCGUCGGUAAGGUGAUAUGAACCGUUACAGCCGGCGAUGUCCGAAUGGGGAAACCCAGUGCAAUUCGUUGCACUAUCGUUAACUGAAUACAUAGGUUAACGAGGCGAACCGGGGGAACUGAAACAUCUAAGUACCCCGAGGAAAAGAAAUCAACCGAGAUUCCCCCAGUAGCGGCGAGCGAACGGGGAGCAGCCCAGAGUCUGAAUCAGCUUGUGUGUUAGUGGAACGGUCUGGAAAGUCCGACGGUACAGGGUGAUAGUCCCGUACACCAAAAUGCACAGGUUGUGAACUCGAAGAGUAGGGCGGGACACGUGGUAUCCUGUCUGAAUAUGGGGGGACCAUCCUCCAAGGCUAAAUACUCCUGACUGACCGAUAGUGAACCAGUACCGUGAGGGAAAGGCGAAAAGAACCCCGGCGAGGGGAGUGAAAAAGAACCUGAAACCGUGUACGUACAAGCAGUGGGAGCACCUUCGGGUGUGACUGCGUACCUUUUGUAUAAUGGGUCAGCGACUUAUAUUCUGUAGCAAGGUUAACCGUAUAGGGGAGCCGCAGGGAAACCGAGUCUUAACUGGGCGUUAAGUUGCAGGGUAUAGACCCGAAACCCGGUGAUCUAGCCAUGGGCAGGUUGAAGGUUGGGUAACACUAACUGGAGGACCGAACCGACUAAUGUUGAAAAAUUAGCGGAUGACUUGUGGCUGGGGGUGAAAGGCCAAUCAAACCGGGAGAUAGCUGGUUCUCCCCGAAAGCUAUUUAGGUAGCGCCUCGUGAACUCAUCUUCGGGGGUAGAGCACUGUUUCGGCUAGGGGGUCAUCCCGACUUACCAACCCGAUGCAAACUACGAAUACCGAAGAAUGUUAUCACGGGAGACACACGGCGGGUGCUAACGUCCGUCGUGAAGAGGGAAACAACCCAGACCGCCAGCUAAGGUCCCAAAGUCAUGGUUAAGUGGGAAACGAUGUGGGAAGGCACAGACAGCCAGGAUGUUGGCUUAGAAGCAGCCAUCAUUUAAAGAAAGCGUAAUAGCUCACUGGUCGAGUCGGCCUGCGCGGAAGAUGUAACGGGGCUAAACCAUGCACCGAAGCUGCGGCAGCGACACGAUGUGUUGUUGGGUAGGGGAGCGUUCUGUAAGCCUGCGAAGGUGACCUGUGAGGGUUGCUGGAGGUAUCAGAAGUGCGAAUGCUGACAUAAGUAACGAUAAAGCGGGUGAAAAGCCCGCUCGCCGGAAGACCAAGGGUUCCUGUCCAACGUUAAUCGGGGCAGGGUGAGUCGACCCCUAAGGCGAGGCCGAAAGGCGUAGUCGAUGGGAAACAGGUUAAUAUUCCUGUACUUGGUGUUACUGCGAAGGGGGGACGGAGAAGGCUAUGUUAGCCGGGCGACGGUUGUCCCGGUUUAAGCAUGUAGGCUGGUUAUCCAGGCAAAUCCGGAUAAUCAAGGCUGAGGUGUGAUGACGAGGCACUACGGUGCUGAAGUAACAAAUGCCCUGCUUCCAGGAAAAGCCUCUAAGCAUCAGGUAACAUCAAAUCGUACCCCAAACCGACACAGGUGGUCAGGUAGAGAAUACCAAGGCGCUUGAGAGAACUCGGGUGAAGGAACUAGGCAAAAUGGUGCCGUAACUUCGGGAGAAGGCACGCUGGUGUGUAGGUGAAGUCCCUGCGGAUGGAGCUGAGACCAGUCGAAGAUACCAGCUGGCUGCAACUGUUUAUUAAAAACACAGCACUGUGCAAACACGAAAGUGGACGUAUACGGUGUGACGCCUGCCCGGUGCCGGAAGGUUAAUUGAUGGGGUUAUCCGUAAGGAGAAGCUCUUGAUCGAAGCCCCGGUAAACGGCGGCCGUAACUAUAACGGUCCUAAGGUAGCGAAAUUCCUUGUCGGGUAAGUUCCGACCUGCACGAAUGGCGUAAUGAUGGCCAGGCUGUCUCCACCCGAGACUCAGUGAAAUUGAACUCGCUGUGAAGAUGCAGUGUACCCGCGGCAAGACGGAAAGACCCCGUGAACCUUUACUAUAGCUUGACACUGAACAUUGAGCCUUGAUGUGUAGGAUAGGUGGGAGGCUUUGAAGCGUGGACGCCAGUCUGCGUGGAGCCAACCUUGAAAUACCACCCUUUAAUGUUUGAUGUUCUAACGU